GGACUACUGGGGUAUCUAAUCCCGUUCGCUCCCCACGCUUUCGCGCCUCAGCGUCAGUGUUAGCCCAGGGACCCGCCUUCGCCACCGGUGUUCCUCCUGAUAUCUACGCAUUUCACCGCUACACCAGGAAUUCCGGUCCCCCCUGCCACACUCAAGUUCCCCAGUAUCCAGGGCACUGUUCGCGUUGAGCGCUGAACCUUUCACCCCAGACUUAAAGAACCGCCUACGCGCGCUUUACGCCCAGUAAAUUCGGACAACGCUCGCCCCCUACGUAUUACCGCGGCUGCUGGCAC
rnacentral:rRNA from 1 species